CCUACGGGGGGCUGCAGUGAGGAAUAUUGGUCAAUGGGAGAGAUCCUGAACCAGCCAAGCCGCGUGAGGGAAGACGGCUCUAUGGGUUGUAAACCUCUUUUGUCGGAGAACAAAACCCGGGACGUGUCCCGGACUGCGUGUAUCCGAAGAAAAAGCAUCGGCUAACUCCGUGCCAGCAGCCGCGGUAAUACGGAGGAUGCGAGCGUUAUCCGGAUUUAUUGGGUUUAAAGGGUGCGUAGGCGGUCCGUUAAGUCAGCGGGAAAAUUGCGGGGCUCAACCCCGUCGAGCCGUUGAAACUGGCAGACUUGAGUUGGCGAGAAGUACGCGGAAUGCGCGGUGUAGCGGUGAAAUGCAUAGAUAUCGCGCAGAACUCCGAUUGCGAAGGCAGCGUACCGGCGCCAGACUGACGCUGAGGCACGAAAGCGUGGGGAUCGAACAGGAUUAGAUACCCGAGUAGUC
rnacentral:rRNA from 1 species